UACAGAGGUCUCAAGCGUUGUUCGGAUUCAUUGGGCGUAAAGGGUGUGUAGGUGGCGCGCUAAGUCGGGUGUGAAAUUUCGGAGCUUAACUCCGAAACUGCAUUCGAUACUGCCGUGCUUGAGGACUGGAGAGGAGACUGGAAUUUACGGUGUAGCGGUGAAAUGCGUAGAUAUCGUAAGGAAGACCAGUGGCGAAGGCGGGUCUCUGGACAGUCCCUGACGCUGAGGCACGAAGGCCAGGGGAGCAAACGGG
rnacentral:rRNA from 1 species